GACGAACGCUGGCGGCGUGCUUAACACAUGCAAGUCGAACGCACUUUGCUCCUUCGGGAGCAAAGUGAGUGGCGAACGGGUGAGUAACACGUGAGCAACCUGCCCUUGACUCUGGAAUAACAGCUGGAAACAGCUGCUAAUACCGGAUACGACCUCCGAUGGCAUCAUCUGGAGGUGGAAAGCUCCGGCGGUCAAGGAUGGGCUCGCGGCCUAUCAGCUUGUUGGUGAGGUAACGGCUCACCAAGGCUUCGACGGGUAGCCGGCCUGAGAGGGCGACCGGCCACACUGGGACUGAGAUACGGCCCAGACUCCUACGGGAGGCAGCAGUGGGAAUAUUGCACAAUGGGCGCAAGCCUGAUGCAGCAACGCCGCGUGCGGGAUGACGGCC
rnacentral:rRNA from 1 species